UGGGGAAUAUUGCACAAUGGACGGAAGUCUGAUGCAGCGACGCCGCGUGGGGGAUGAAGGCUUUCGGGUUGUAAACUCCUUUCAGUACAGAAGAAGCUUUAUUGUGACGGUAUGUGCAGAAGACGCGCCGGCUAACUACGUGCCAGCAGCCGCGGUAAUACGUAGGGCGCGAGCGUUGUCCGGAAUUAUUGGGCGUAAAGAGCUCGUAGGCGGUUUGUCGCGUCUGCUGUGAAAGACCGGGGCUUAACUCCGGGGCUGCAGUGGGUACGGGCAGGCUGGAGUGCAGUAGGGGUAACCGGAAUUCCUGGUGUAGCGGUGGAAUGCGCAGAUAUCAGGAGGAACACCGAUGGCGAAGGCAGGUUACUGGGCCGUUACUGACGCUGUGGAGCGAAAGCAUGGGGAGCGAACAGG
rnacentral:rRNA from 1 species